rnacentral:misc_RNA from 1 species
UUUCCGUAGGUGAACCUGCGGAAGGAUCAUUAUCGUACAACCGAGGUGCGAGGGCUGUCGCUGACCUUUUCGUUCGUGCACGCCCGAGCGCUCUCACACAAUCCAUCUCACCCCUUGUGCACCACCGCGCGGGUCCCUUUCUGGCUCGUCGGGAGGGGGGCUCGCGUUUUCACACAAACUUGAAGUAGUGUAGAAUGUCCUUUUUUUGCGAUAAAACGCAAUCAAUACAACUUUCAACAACGGAUCUCUUGGCUCUC